ACCCAAACAAAACUAUCCGCCAGAGAACUACUAGCAACAGCUUAAAACUCAAAGGACUUGGCGGUGCUUUAUAUCCCUCUAGAGGAGCCUGUUCUAUAAUCGAUAAACCCCGAUAAACCUCACCAUCUCUUGUUAAUUCAGCCUAUAUACCGCCAUCUUCAGCAAACCCUAAAAAGGAAGAAAAGUAAGCACAAGUGUCUUAACACAAAAAAGUUAGGUCAAGGUGUAGCCUAUGAGAUGGGAAGCAAUGGGCUACAUUUUCUACAACUAGAACAUCCACGAAAAUCCUUAUGAAAUUAAGUAUUCAAGGAGGAUUUAGUAGUAAAUUUGAGAAUAGAGAGC
rnacentral:rRNA from 1 species